rnacentral:pre_miRNA from 1 species
AUUGUACUCCCUCCAUCCGAAAAUACUUGUCAUUGAAAUGGAUGUAUCUAGAUGUAUUUUAGUUCUAGACACAUCCAUUUUGAUGACAAGUAAUUCUAGACGGAGGGAGUAAUAA